rnacentral:pre_miRNA from 1 species
UCAACCCAUUUAACCAUUUAACUCAUCAAGUUAAAUGAGUUCAUGAGUUGACCCAACUCAUUUGUCUAAAUAAGUUGGGUCAACUCAUGAACUCAUUUAACUCUAAACUCAUUGGGUAAUGAGU